CACAGGCGCCUUCACAUGACGUCAGACGCAGCCACUUCCGUACCGGGCAGGAAGCGCACUUGUGAGGAUGUCGUGCUGAUGGGGAGGGGUGGAGAAGCAGGGCUGCCUGCCCCUCGGGGAUGGGCUUGGUAGACGCAUGCGUAUCGUGUCGCGUUUAAUGAGUCUGGUUGCUGCGUUUCCGGGUUUUUUUUGUUUUUGUUUUUUGUUUUGCAAAAUGCGUUUUCUAGGUGCUAGAGAAGUAGCGGCACAUUUUUUUUUUCCUGAGAGGAGAAGUCGGCAAAAAGGCCGAAUGAUCCUCUUAAUUCUGGAACCGCUGGGCCCGCAAACGUUGCGCUUUCUCAGUUUUCUCUUUUGUAACAUGGAGGCUUUGCGCUGUGUAACCAAGGAGGGUGUACUGGGGCCUCCAUGAGCGGGAAAUCUAAGUCGAGUUGUGUUAAACGUUCCCACCUUUGCCGCCUCUCUCCUCUCCCCUACCGUGCUCAGCCUGGUCACACCAACUCAGAACAGAUCCCACAGAUGACACUGAACUCUGUCAGAUGAGAUGUGAACUCUCAGCUACUGCUCCAGCACCAUGCUUGCCUGCCUGCUGCCGUGCUCCCUACUGUGCUCCCUACCGUGCUCCCUACUGUGCUGGCCAUGGACUCACCCUCUGAAACUGGGAACUGGCUCCUGUCUGUGCCGGGGAGAAGUGACCACAGUGACUUGUGAAGGUCUGGGGAGCCUAGGCUGAAGACCCUUCACCUCUUCGUUUGCUCAUUUGUG